rnacentral:RNase_P_RNA from 5 species
UUGGUAAAUCAAACGAUGGCGCUCCGAUUAAAAUCGGGGUGAGGAAAGUCCGGACGUCCUCCUGAUGAAUUUCAGGAUAAAAAAGUACGGGCUAACGGCCCGCCGCAGUAAUGCGAGAGGUGCGAACAGAAACGCUGAGGUUCAAAAGAACCGAGGCGCCAAGCAUAUAAGAAAUUAUGUGCUCGGCGAGCUCUGAUGGCAACAUCGGAGAUGAAACGGCUAAAUCCUUACUGGACGCAAGGCCGUGCCGUCAUUGCUUCGCAAUGACGGAGUGCCGCUAGAGCCUGCGAGCAAUCAAAGGCCCAGAUAAAUUAUCGUUUAAACAGAAUCCGGCUUAUGAUUUACCAAUAUA